AAGCGUUGUCCGGAAUUAUUGGGCGUAAAGAGCUCGUAGGCGGCUUGUCACGUCGGAUGUGAAAGCCCGGGGCUUAACCCCGGGUCUGCAUUCGAUACGGGCUAGCUAGAGUGUGGUAGGGGAGAUCGGAAUUCCUGGUGUAGCGGUGAAAUGCGCAGAUAUCAGGAGGAACACCGGUGGCGAAGGCGGAUCUCUGGGCCAUUACUGACGCUGAGGAGCGAAAGCGUGGGGAGCGAACAGGAUUAGAUACCCUGGUAGUCCACGCCGUAAACGUUGGGAACUAGGUGUUGGCGACAUUCCACGUCGUCGGUGCCGCAGCUAACGCAUUAAGUUCCCCGCCUGGGGAGUACGGCCGCAAGGCUAAAACUCA
rnacentral:rRNA from 1 species